UCUUUCCCGAAUCACAGAACAUCCAACCAAAAGGGAACGCCGGUCGCCAUCGACGAAUUAAGGAAGAUCGACGGACCCUCCAACCAUGGCAGGGUAUCUUGAUCGAGAAGGACGACGACGAUCGGAAGCAGAGAUCACGGAUCUGCCAGAAACCGGAACCAAUUGCAGCACGGAAAAAAUGGCAGAGUCCUCACCACCGGGACGGCGAGAGAGUGGUACAGGAGGCCCCCUCGCCGUGCUGUUCGCCUCUGAUCUUCGUAAGGCGGGAAGAGAAUGGCGGAGCCCACUGUCGCUCUCCGACGAGACGGGCGGUGGUGGCUAGAGAUG
rnacentral:lncRNA from 1 species